UGGGGAAUAUUGCACAAUGGGCGAAAGUCUGAUGCAGCAACGCCGCGUGAGUGAUGAAGGCCUUCGGGUUGUAAAGCUCUGUCUUUUGGGACGAUAAUGACGGUACCAAAGGAGGAAGCCACGGCUAACUACGUGCCAGCAGCCGCGGUAAUACGUAGGUGGCAAGCGUUGUCCGGAUUUACUGGGCGUAAAGGAUGCGUAGGCGGAUUUUUAAGUGAGAUGUGAAAUACCCGGGGCUUAACUUGGUGCUGCAUUUCAAACUGGGAAUCUAGGUGCGGGAGAGGAAAUGGAAUUCCUAGUGUAGCGGUGAAAAUGCGUAGAGAUUAGGAAGAACACCAGUGGCGAAGGCGAUUCUCUGGACCGUAACUGACGCUGAGGCAUGAAAAGCGU
rnacentral:rRNA from 1 species